AUAGGGGACACCGAGUGCCAGCAUCAUAUGCUGGCUGUCCGGAUGUGUAAAAUACAUCCGUUAGCAAGGGCCGGGCAAGACCGGUGCCAGCCGCCGCGGUAACACCGGCGGCCCGAGUGGUGAUCGUGAUUAUUGGGUCUAAAGGGUCCGUAGCCGGUUUGGUCAGUCCUCCGGGAAAUCUGAUAGCUCAACUAUUAGGCUUUCGGGGGAUACUGCCAGACUUGGAACCGGGAGAGGUAAGAGGUACUACAGGGGUAGGAGUGAAAUCUUGUAAUCCCUGUGGGACCACCUGUGGCGAAGGCGUCUUACCAGAACGGGUUCGACGGUGAGGGACGAAAGCUGGGGGCACGAACCGGAUUAGAUACCCGGGUAGUCCCAGCCGUAAACGAUGCUCGCUAGGUGUCAGGCAUGGCGCGACCGUGUCUGGUGCCGCAGGGAAGCCGUGAAGCGAGCCACCUGGGAAGUACGGCCGCAAGGCUGAAACUUAAAGGAAUUGGCGGGGGAGCACAACAACGGGUGGAGCCUGCGGUUUAAUUGGACUCAACGCCGGACAACUCACCGGGGGCGACAGCAAUAUGUAGGCCAAGCUGAAGACUUUGCCUGAAUCGCUGAGAGGAGGUGCAUGGCCGUCGCCAGUUCGUACUGUGAAGCAUCCUGUUAAGUCAGGCAACGAGCGAGACCCGUGCCCACUGUUACCAGCAUGUCCUCCGGGACGAUGGGUACUCUGUGGGGACCGCCGAUGUUAAAUCGGAGGAAGGUGCGGGCCACGGUAGGUCAGUAUGCCC
rnacentral:rRNA from 1 species